AUGUCAUUUCAAAGGGAGCGUGUGGGGCUGUGAAACCCAGAGCUCUUAACACCAUGACCAAAUAUCGAAGUUUUCUGUAAGGCACCAUAGUCACUCAAUAGUGCUUUGUCUUCCUGCGGAGGUAUAAGA
ensembl:snoRNA